GCCUGGGUGGCUCAGUCAGUUGAGCAUCUGACUUUAGCUCAGGUCACGAUCUCACAGCUCGUGAGUUCGAGCCCCGCGUUGGGCU
rnacentral:tRNA from 1 species